rnacentral:rRNA from 1 species
UACGGAGGGUGCAAGCGUUAUCCGGAUUCACUGGGUUUAAAGGGUGCGUAGGUGGGUCUGAAAGUCAGUGGUGAAAUCUUCGAGCUUAACUCGGAAACUGCCAUUGAUACUCUGGAUCUUGAAUUUUCUGGAGGUUAGCGGAAUAUGUCAUGUAGCGGUGAAAUGCUUAGAUAUGACAUAGAACACCAAUUGCGAAGGCAGCUAACUACGGGAACAUUGACACUGAGGCACGAAAGCGUGGGGAUCAAACAGG